UCCUCAUUGGUCUAGUGGUGAUGAUUUCCGCUUGUCAUUCGAUAAGCGCGGGAGACCAGGGUUCGAUUCCCUGAUGGGGAG
rnacentral:tRNA from 1 species